ACAUAUGCAUACUCAUGUACGCACGCGCCCCCCUCCCUCCUCUCCCUCCCUAAAAGAAAAGAAACACGCAACCUUCCAUUGGCGCAGGUGCAGCCUUGUUUCUUGUGUUUCGCCUUCGCACCCCCUUUUCCCGCCCGGUCUUCGCUGCAGGCGUAACGAAACGGAAAAGGAGACACACCAAGGCCUGCUGGUGGUGUCUCUCGGCCUCCGCUCCCCCACCUCCCCCGUCGGCCCACAACCCCACACACGCUGGCACUCCGCACCUCUCAGCUCUCCAUCUUCCCAAACGUCGAGCUUGCUGACCCUCUUUUUCUUUCGUUGACUGCGAUUCUUUUUUUUUUCUUUCGUGCGCGUGCGUGUUGCCGCAUCCGCACUCGCUUGUCGUUUUACAUGCGCGGUCGGCUCAGAUCGAUCGAGCCCCCUUGACAAGCCGAACUGCACAGCAGCGAUACGGCCACCCAUCCUUCUUUGUGUGCGUCGUGGGGUGUGUGCGUGAGUACGUGUGCGUGCGCACGACACCCAUCAUCGCUACCACCAUUCACUAACACAGCAGUGGCGGCUUUGGUUUGAGGAAUCUUACGCUCUAGUGCACCUGCAGCAGCUCUGGCGCGCUUGCUGCGGCUUCCUUUCUUUUGCGCUGUGACCCACACGUGGCUGCGGCUGCGAAUUUGUGUGCACACACACACACGCACGCAACAGCAACAAAAAGCGAACGGAAAGCAAACCGAAAGUCAGAUCCAAGUACGCGGAGGAAAGGAGGGUCGAGCGAUCUGCAAGACGCCGCCACCUGGCAGACAUUCGACACUCAGAACUUGUAUCACGGAUUGACGAUAUUGUAUUUGCCCCAGUUGCGGUGGCCGGUCUCUUGCUUGUCGAGGCGAACCUCACACAUCCGCGAUGGGGUGCGACUCAUCCAAGGAGAGCGUGGCGUCCAACACCGCGUCCGCGAGCAGCAGGGGCAGCCGCAACUGCGCCGAGAAGGGGAAAGGUGGACGACGCACUUAUAGUAAUGGUAGUACAGAAGUCAAAGGCAAAUCGGGCGCCAGUGGUGCCCACAACGGCGGCAGCAUGGCUGGCGCCGGUGGCACUAUGGCGGAUCAGAGCCGCUGGCCGACGUGCCACUUUUGCCACCGCAAGGUCCCGGACAAGGACUACAACGCCCACACUGUCAUGUGCGACGAGCGUGAGGUGACGUGCUGGAACUCUUGGUGCCGCCAGAUUGUGCGGCAAGGUGACCUGCAGAAGCAUCUGGAGGACUGCGGGAGGCGGCAGAAGGCGAUUUGCCCCAAGUGCGGUGCCGAGAUCCUGGCCAUGGAGAUGCUGGCGCACCGGGAUAGCUGCCAGCCAAAGCCGUGCCCGCAAUGCGGGGAGCUAUGCAUCACCCGCAUCCACAAGUGGUGCCCCAAGACAAUCCUGGCCAAGGUGAAGUUCAUCAACGGUCCUUUCGCGACGGAGGUUCUGCAGCGCCGCUUCUUGCCACCCGGAAAAGAGAAGGACCCGAGGGCGAAGCUCGAGUAUAGCGUGGCGCGGAUGCAGCUUCUGUGGCGCUGGAUCAAGUGCAAAGGCAUGAUCGAGGAGACGAUCUUCCGCAGCGUGUACAAGGAGAUGGACCUCAAAAAAGAGGGUUUCGCCAUUUUCAAGGCUCACGACAAGGUCAACGAGCAACACGUCAUGGCACCGAAGCGGUCGCGAUCAGUGAUUCAGGCACCAGUGGUGGCCCCAGCGACGUCCUCGCACUACUUCCCGGUGAACACCAACGCCCCUAUCACCCUUCACCACGUCGAGCAGAUGAUCAAGGACAUCAAGAACCGCGUGCUUCUGCCGUACCCGGCCGCCUGGCGCGUCUUCACCGACGCGAUGAACCACCUCAACACCAUGCCGAAUGUCGUGCGCGUGUCGCCGGCCGUCGGGGCCCGCGUCAGCAACGGCCGCGUGAUUCAGGGCUGCAAGGUAGUCGUCGUGGGUGACUUGCACGGCCAGAUUGCCGACCUCCUGCAUAUCCUCAAGGAGAGCGGUAUGCCGAGCGAGAGUAAUUAUUACGUCUUCAACGGCGACUACGUCGACCGCGGCGCGUGCGGUGUGGAGAUCAUUCUCAUCCUCUUCUCCCUGAUGCUGGCGUGCCCCAAGUACGUCACGCUCAACCGCGGCAACCACGAGUGCGACUACAUGAACGACGAGUAUGGCUUCGAUGUUGAGGUGAGCACCAAGUAUGACCGUAACGUGUUCCGGCUUAUCCAGCGCUGCUUCUGCGCCUUGCCGCUCGCCACGCUCAUCGGUGGCAAGAUCUUCGUCGUUCACGGCGGUCCGCCUCGGCGACGCGGGGUUAGCAUCAACGAUAUCUCGCGUAUCCAGCGCUUCCGGCAGAUUCCGAUCCCCAACUACUCGCAGCCCGAGGAGGACGAGAUCUUCCAGGACAUGCUGUGGUCCGACCCGGUAGAGGACAUAAAGGGCUGGCGAGAGAGUCAGCGUGGCGCGGGCGUCGAAUUCGGCUCCGACGUGACGAUGGAGUUCUUGGAGAACAACAAGCUGGAGCUCAUCGUACGUUCGCACGAGGAUUGCCUGAGCGGGUACGAGGAGCACCAUAACCACAAGCUACUGACGAUCUUCUCGGCUAGCAACUACGACGGACCGAACUCGAACUACGGCGCCAUCUGCACCUUCAUCGGCGACAACCUGGAGCCGUCUUACCACACGUACCAGAUGUUCGAGGACGAGUACGACGACUCGCAGGUGGUGAGUCUCACCGACUCUUUCGCGCUCACGGCGCCGAACAUCGCCAGGAUCAGCUCCUUCACCGCUACCAUCGGAAGCGUCGGCUUUGGGGUGAACAAGAGUAACUUUAUGAGCCGAGUUCUGCUGCACCGUCGCACGAAAGACAACAUUCUGCGUGAGCUGCGCGAGCGCAUCUACCAGCGCCGCCACCGCCUUCUAGCCUACUUCUCGAAGCUCGACCGCACGAACAAGGGGUCACUGUGGAUGAUCGAGUGGGUGGAGUCGAUGCGCAACGUACUAAACCUCGACCUGCCAUGGUACUUCCUGCGUGGCUACAUCGUCGAGGUGGACGAUCACUCGCGCAUCUGGUACGCCCCGUUCCUGAACCGCUUCCACAACGUGCUGCAAGAUCUGUGGGGUGAGGAGUGGCGGCAGUCCGUGUGCGCGCGAGUGCUGCAGCAGCAGCGCAUGAAUCACCGCUCGCAGCUCGUUUCUGCCGCCUUCAACAAGGAGGUGGUGAACUACAACGAGUUCUGCUCUGUCAUGCGCGCCAUCGACUACACGACGAGCGACUGCCAACUCUUCCAGCUGUUCGAGUCGUUCGACGAGAAGGGCAACGGUCAUAUCAGCGGACCAGAAUUCUUGAAGAAGGUACAGCAGAUCGCCAACGACAAGCCCGACCCGCUCCGCUGGGACAUCGAUGCCAUGGAGCAGCUGCAGAAUAUCGUGAUCCAGGGCCGCAGCCAGCUUCCCUCGCUGUUCCGUGUAACUUCGCGGGACAAGGCGCUGUCAAGAGAGCGCUUCAUGGCCGGCAUGGCGCAGCUGGGCCGUUGCAUGCGCAAGCAGCUAACACAGCCACAGAGGGAGGCUAUCUUUGACUUUAUGAAGCAGCGCGUGCCAGAGGGGGAGGAGAUGACUUUCGACAUGUUCCUGCUGUGUGUGUACGUCUUCGAUCGUCGAACCGUCGCCGGGAUGAAGUCGUCCUACUCGCUCUCCGACUUGAACGAGUUAGGACUGGCCCCCAUUUCUUUUCGAAAUACGAGCUUUUCUGGCUCCGGCACUGGCCGCUAAACCUAAGUAGUGACGAUUCUGGCGAUGGAGAUGUGGCACACUUGUCAGUUCGUGAGCGUAUGUGUGUGUGUGGGGGGUGAACAGAUGCCUUUGCGCGUGGUGACGAUGGUACGUGGCCUUGACUCCCCCUUUUUUUAUACUGCCGACCUCACCUUGUCCUGGUAUACCUAUACAUACGCACACAUAUAAAUAUAGAGAUAUUUAUAGGUGCUUGCUUACGUCUCUUGGUAUUUUGGCGCAGUACUUUUUUUUGUUUUCAGCUCUCCCCCCACCGACUCUUCCCCUCCCUUUCUUCCUUCCUGUCAUGUUUCUUUGCACGCUCGUGUGUGUGUGUGUGUGUGUGUGUGUGUGUGAGUAUGCCGGUGUCUCUGUGUGGCCCCAUCGACGCUCCGUAGCGGUGCUGACGGUUUCUUGGACUUGCUGCUCUGUUCUCUAGCUUGCUGGCGCCUCGUUUUUUUUUUUGUUCCCCCCCCUUUCGCGCUAUGAGUAUGGUGUGGAGGCGGCAGCCCGUGCCUUUGGAGCUGUGAUGCGGGAGCCGAGGGUGGUGAUGUGGAGGAGAGAGGUGAUGGCUCGUCCGGUGCUCGGCAUGUUGCGCGUGAUUCUGCCGCAUUUCUCUCCCUCUCGCUCUUUUUUUUCGUUUUACAUGCUUUGCUGGGCUUGUCUCGUUCCAUCGCGUUAGUAUCGGCCUUCCGCGCUUCAUGUGCGCUGCUCGGCCGCGCCGUUUCCUUGUUCGCGUGUUUUGCGUUCUCUCCGUUCCGUUCUGGCCCCCCUCCCCAGCCUUCGUUUCUCUCUCUCUCUCUCUGUGCGUGCGUGUGUAUGUGUGUGCAGUUUCACGCGCUCUGCGCGUGCGUGUGAACUCGUUAUGGAAUUUCGUUUUGUUGUGCUGUUCUGUGUUUGUGUGACGAGUGUCAGCGAAGACGGCGAUGUGCGCCUGUGAGGCCGUCGUCGACGUUCUCUCGCGCCUUCUUUGCGUCUCUGUGCUUAUAGGUAGGCCUACACACAUAUAUAUAUGUGUGCGUGUGUGUGUGUAUGAAAUAUAUACCUAUAUAUGUAUGUAUAUGCAUGCAUGCACGUGUGUAUGUUUUCUCCCGGCACUGCGUUUGCCAGUCUUUGUGCUUCUCUCGGCGUCUCUGUCUUGUCUUUUCCUGACACACAGACACACAGACACACACACACACACACACACACCUACAAGGAAGAGGCAUCUGCACUCACGGAAGCAUCGACAGAUACAAGCCGCCCCCUCCCGCGCAUGGCAUAUCCGUCUUUCUGCUUUCCUUGCUCACCUGCUGAUGCUGACUCUUUAUUUUUCUUUCUCAAGCCCUGUGACUUGUAUGCCGAUGUUGCGUGAGAGCC
rnacentral:misc_RNA from 1 species